GCCAGCAUGGUGCAAUGGUUUGAGUGUUGGAUUAGGACUCCAGGAGACCAGGGUUCGAAUCCCCUGCUCAGCCA